CAGGAACCAUCGCACUUUAUAGAUGAUAACUUUUUUCUACUAUCUAUAUAAUCAGAGUACACAAGUCCAAAACUUCCUAUGAAGACCACUAGAUGGCACAUUGCUCUCGCAACUACAUUUACCGGCCUACAUUAUAUGAGAUCACCGUAAAGCACACAUUCCAUCCUUGUCUUUGGGGAGCAAAGUAUUCAAUGAUCGUUUAGUGAGGGUACUGUUGCUGAAGCCCAUUAUGAAAUAAAACCCGCAUCCACACGUUAUGUCGUGAGAUGCAAUUUUUGCGGGCCUCUUUACUUUACAAGAGGCUUAGAAAAAUCAAUAUGAGGAGUCGGUCAUUAAUAAUUGUACCGAUAGCAAACAUCGAUAUCUACUCAAUAUCUCUCUACGAGUGAGGGUAGGUGCUUGUUACGUCGCGUGGGACAUCUACGCUCCAUCCCUCGCUACCUGGCAGCCAGCGGUCAACCUUUACAGUCUUCCCGAUUCUCAAUAGACUCAAGAGUCUCAGGUCGUACUCACUCGUCGUUGUCCAUUCAAACAUUCGUUAUUGUAUAACACCGAAGUUGUUGGAUCGAUUAAAUACAUAAUAACCUGUUAAUCGCAGCGUUAUUUCAAUUAAUCACCCUUAUUAUCCCACAAGAAAUAAGGGAUCGUACGAUUCGUGGCGUCGAUUAGUCAAUCGUAACGGGAAUUUACGACUCUCGUUGGCGCGCUUCUUCGAGAUCGCGUCUCCCCGUGAACGUGCGAAAGUUCAGUGCUUAUAUCGA